AGUAAUGUAUAGGAACUUGCCUAGUAGUGGGGGAUAACGUGUGGAAACGCACGCUAAUACCGCAUACGCUCUACGGAGGAAAGCGGAGGAUCUUCGGACCUCGUGCUACUAGAUGGGCCUAUAUCAGAUUAGCUAGUUGGUAAGGUAAUGGCUUACCAAGGCGACGAUCUGUAGCUGGUUUGAGAGAAUGAUCAGCCACACUGGGACUGAGACACGGCCCAG
rnacentral:rRNA from 1 species